rnacentral:rRNA from 1 species
CCUACGGGAUGCAGCAGUAGGGAAUUUUCGGCAAUGGGGAGAACCCUGACCGAGCAACGCCGCGUGAACGAAGAAGUUAUUCGUAAUGUAAAGUUCUUUUAACAGGGAAGAAAGAGACAUUUGACGGUAACUGACGAAUAAGCUCCGGCUAACUACGUGCCAUCAGCCGCGGUAAUACGUAGUGAGCUAGCGUUAUCCGGAAUUAUUGGGCGGAAAGGGUGCGUAGAUGGCAUAGUAAGUCUUUUGUAAAAAGGCUGGGCUCAACCCAGUAGGGCAAAAGAUACUGCAAAGCUAGAGUAUGACAGAGGUAAGUGGAACUACAUGGGUAGCGGUAAAAUGCGUAAAUAUAUGUAAGAACACCAGUGGCGAAGGCGGCUUGCUGGGUCGAGACUGACAUUGAGGCACGAAAGCGUGGGGAGCAAACAGGAUUAGAUACCCGAGUAGUC